AACGAACGCUGGCGGCAUGCCUAACACAUGCAAGUCGAACGAGACCUUCGGGUCUAGUGGCGCACGGGUGCGUAACGCGUGGGAACCUGCUCUUAGGUUCGGAAUAACUCCCCGAAAGGGGUGCUAUUACCGGAUAAUGUCUUCGGACCAAAGAUUUAUCGCCUUUGGAUGGGCCCGCGUUGGAUUAGCUAGUUGGUAGGGUAAAAGCCUACCAAGGCGACGAUCCAUAGCUGGUCUGAGAGGAUGAUCAGCCACACUGGGACUGAGACACGGCCCAGACUCCUACGGGAGGCAGCAGUGGGGAAUAUUGGACAAUGGGCGAAAGCCUGAACCAGCAAUGCCGCGUGAGUGAUGAAGGCCUUAGGGUUGUAAAGCUCUUUUACCCGGGAUGAUAAUGACAGUACCGGGAGAAUAAGCACCGGCUAACUCCGUG
rnacentral:rRNA from 1 species